CUAGUGUGGUUUCGCGCGCUUCCUCAAAGAAGGUUUUUGAAGUCGGGCUAGCGUAGCCGGUCUGCGUUUCAAUCGAAGGCAAGUGUUGUUGUUUGCCAACUGGUCUGGCCUGUGAACAUAACGUGUGAUGACCGUGUUUUUCAUCUUCUUUAGAGCUUGCUCUUGGCGGGAAGCGCACGCCAUGGAAAGCGAAUACGAAACGUAAAUAGCGGAGCGCAUGGCUUCAGAACAACUGCCUCACCCAGCUCUAGCUGGCUUCACGCUAAUGACGUGAGCACGAGGAUUCAUUACCCAUCUCUAUGUCGGAGCGGUCCAGCACGAGCGUGCCCCAUUAUUCGAGCAACGACGGUCGAUCGCUGGCUUGCAAGCGAUUUGUGGUCCAUGGCGCGGCUGCAGCAUUGGACGAAUCACUGACAGGGGGGUGAUUGGAUGGAAGGCUGAGCAACAUACCCAGAGAUGUAGCGCUGCUGCUUACAUCGUGCUUACGCUUGAACACGGGGAAUGACGCAGUGCUGGAGUGGAGUUUGAAAAUAAUGCAAGCAGAGACCAGUCUCGGUGACAAGGGUGCUGCAUCGGUCAUGUCUUGUACCCCAAGUGGUAUCCUACUACAAAGAUGAUCUCAGCCAACUCAUACAAGUGCAUGAGGCAUCAACAGAGAUGACCAGCAAUUUUCUUGACGCCCUGCCCGUUUGCCCAGUCAUAGUUGCAUUCGGUCAGUCUAUCUUUCAAUGCACCUGCCAUCUGUUUGUGGAUAGGGAGCUUAUAAUACCGAACAUCGGCUCGAAGCUGGCUAUUGAGUACCUGUUUGCUGUCCACUACACUGCUUGAGCAUCAAAUAUGCUGCACGUGUAGGGGCGACCCUUGAAUUUUUUCACAGGUUUGCGCUAUCGGCCUGCCUAAACUACUCUUCAGCACCUACUCACGACCCUACACAUGCAAGUGACCGGCCUAAUCGCCAGCAGCAGGCGUCAUCGGGCUCCCGGCGUGAUUCUGACAGCUCACUGCUGCCUUCGGAUCUGUGCCUGCGCCUGGUCGCCAGCAGCUUGGCUAUAUAAACGUCCUACGGACCACUCAACUUCGUUCAGCAGCAGCAGUGGCGGUGUAGCAGUGUGUGCAUGCUUGACUCUUCCAUCUCGGCUUCACAGGAUCUGGCUGGAAUGGGCACCCGAGGCAACUUGCUGAACGUGAUCCAAAGUUAUCUCUCGAACCGCACAUUCCGUGUUCGAGUUGGUAACGUCUUAUCUCGUCCAUUUACCCAAGAGACUGGUGUACCACAAGGAGAUACCUCGUUGGCAUAUGCGAAGAGGGCACACGCCAGCAAAUGAAGAGAAGCAAAGGAGCCCGCUCAAAAACUCUGGCGGCUUGCGCACAGAUUGCGAUCUUCAAGAAGAAAUGGAGCUCUGCGAGUCUUUUUUAUUACUGUUUGGUUGAUUUCAGGUACUGACUUACAUUUCCUGCUUUUCAUUUUCAGCUUCUCUGAUGGCCUAAGACAGGCUAGCCUGUACAUGUUCUUCAAAUACAG